rnacentral:lncRNA from 1 species
UUACAUUUUGGUAUGUUUUAGGUUACCUCAAGGGCAUCCAAGAUGUAGGUGUCUUUGUUUCCGCAGUAGUUUCAAUUUUUUAUAUUCAAAUGUUAUAUGUAUAUGUGUGUGUGUGUAUAGUAUGAGUUUUUAAAAGAAGCAAUUUUCGGCUUCAGUUUCGGUUUUCGGCCAAGUGCAUCCUAAAUUUUCGGUUUCUGCCCAGAAUUUUCAUUUCGGUGCAUCACUAGUUUCAACCAUUUGUUGUUGAUGUGCAAUUGAACAGUUUAACAAUUUGUUGACAUGCGCAAGUUGACAAUUUAAGUGCUUUGCUCCCUUGUUUACUUUUAGACCGAAUCCAGUUUAUCACUCAGACGAGGAGCCCCAGAAUGAGUGCAGAUUCACCCAAGCCCCAAAAGUGUUAUUUCCAGCGACCCAACUAGCCAGUCAGAACAGCCAACCAUCACCACCUCCACGAAUCUAUCAGACCCUCCAACGCCCCAAUUCCCCCAUGUUGUCUUACCCCAAUGUCCCAGCAUCGUUCCCUGGAGAUGAAUUGGUGUUCUCUCCAAUGAAUUUACUCCAGAGGCCAUCUCCUGAAGUUGUUUCAGAUUCUUCAGAAACUGCCAGGUUGGCAUUAAAAGGUAAGUACAAUUAAAUCCUAGCGGCCCAGGCUUUUCUUUCCUCAAUGAUUUAAAUCAUUGAAGGAUUUACCACUUAUCAACUGUUAGCUUAAACCAAUGGAGGGAGACAUUGCUAAAAUAAACAACUGUUAAAAAGUUUGUUACCAUCAUUCAUUUUUCCAUUUGGAAUCAUUAUAACCAGCCU